UUUAGGAGGAUUCCUGUUUAGGCUUUUGUAGGGAGCUCAGCUAAUAGAGUGAGUUUGGAUUUGUUUGUUGGUUACUUCCUGUGCUAUUUUUUAAAUUGUUUUUAAAUUUCAGAAAUCUAGAAAACCUGAAGUUGUGAAUGUGCAUUGGCAAAUAUAUACUGAAGUGUGCAACUAUGAAGAUAAAUCUUAAUAAGUAGGGUUUUCUAGGUCAUAGGUGGGAGUGAUAGUGGGCUAGUCUGAUACUGAAGGAUUGGAAUAAUAUGAGGCUGAUGUAUCCUUCACCAGAAAAAUGGUGGGGAAGUAAAAUGGAAGAUGUAAGACCACGGAGAACCUGGCAGGAAUUUUAGCAGCAUUCAGAAUCCUUCCAGAGGGUGAGGUUUUGAGUUCUUUUCAUGGCUAGCAACCAAAGCAAGGCUUCCUGAUGUUCUUUUCUUCCCGGAUUCAGUUCAUUACGGAUGCUGCUGCUUCUGGGCUGAAUAUACCAGACCAUUUCCUUAGUGAAGAUGUCACAUUCAUGCACAAGCCCAGCUAUGUUCAUGAAUUGUUAAUGCAUCCGUAGCACCUGCUGUAAGCACCUGAUGU